GAUGAACGCUAGCUACAGGCUUAACACAUGCAAGUCGAGGGGAAACGACAUCGAAAGCUUGCUUUUGAUGGGCGUCGACCGGCGCACGGGUGAGUAACGCGUAUCCAACCUGCCCAUCACUUGGGAAUAACCUUGCGAAAGUAAGACUAAUACCCAAUGACAUCCCACGAAGACAUCUGAAUGGGAUUAAAGAUUUAUCGGUGAUGGAUGGGGAUGCGUCUGAUUAGCUUGUUGGCGGGGUAACGGCCCACCAAGGCAACGAUCAGUAGGGGUUCUGAGAGGAAGGUCCCCCACAUUGGAACUGAGACACGGUCCAAACUCCUACGGGAGGCAGCAGUGAGGAAUAUUGGUCAAUGGGCGAGAGCCUGAACCAGCCAAGUAGCGUGCAGGAUGACGGCGCUAUGGGUUGUAAACUGCUUUUAUAAGGGAAUAAAGUGGGUCUCGUGAGACUUUUUGCAUGUACCUUAUGAAUAAGGACCGGCUAAUUCCGUG
rnacentral:rRNA from 1 species